AGGAAUGGCAGGAGAGCGGUGAGAGACCUCCGUCCCAGUGAGGAUGACAUGUUCUAACUCAGGAAAUGAAUAGAUGCUCUUGCGAUUGAAGAAAAAUCUACGCUGGAGGCAGACAGGCUGGCAGAUAAGGAGACUGAAGCAUCUAGAGUUGGAGUAAUUUCCACAAGAUCACAGGAUUAUUCUAGGCACCUGAAUAGAACAGCCAGCCAGGAUGGCUUGUUCCUGCUCUCCUAUGCUUCUAUCAUUGGCAGUAAACUUGUGCAAACACUGGGAUCCCUGGAUACCAUGAGGCAAGAUUUCACUCUGUCACCCAGACUGGAGUGCAGUGGCACAAACAUAGCUCACUGAAGCCUCAAACUCCUGGGCUCAAGAGAUCCUUCUGCUUCAGCCUCCUGAGUAGCUGGGACUUCAGAAUCCCAGUCCUCUCUCUCUCACUGACCCCGAAGAUAAGCAUUGGAAAGGGGAGCUUUGGGGAAAUGAAUCUGCCCUGUCAUCUGCGUAUAGAGCUAAUCUUAAAUCCCAACUGCCAAAUGGAUCCUGAGGUGUCAGAAACUCUCCCGAGAUAAGGGGGCUUCUAGCAACCAUCUGCAUUCUGGACCCAGGUAUGUUGUGUUUGUAAUCUCAUUCACUCACUCGUUCAUUCUUCCAUGCCUCCCCUGAUCCCCUUCCUGAAGUAAGAGCCUUCUGUUGAUGUCGAUGAAAGAACCCUGUUUAUUUUCUUCAACUGAGAGUCUAACACACUGUGCCCUGGGCAAGGUUGAGAAUCAGCCAAAGCUUGUCUUCUUUGUCCAAUAUAAUCUAAUAAAUGGGUGUGUAACCACUUG
ensembl:lncRNA LINC00970 long intergenic non-protein coding RNA 970